CCUCCCUCUGCUUCACUUGGUGAUUCUUUCUAUUUCUCUUUGUUUCUUUCCUUCAUCACUUUUAAUUUUCAAUUUUUCAUCUCUCUUUUGUUUUGUUUGCAGAAUAAUUUGUAUGUUAUUUUUGGAUUUUUAGUCGUCGUUCGUGCUUUGCUCUGGAUUAUGACCAACAAGGUGAAUGGUGCAACUACAAAGGAGACUGUGUUAAGAUUGUAUGUAUUUCUCUCGAUUGCAGUGAUGUCUCUGCUUGAUUGUAAAGAAGGAGAAUGAGCAUAUAAUCAAAGUUUCAAGAUCUAAAAAAAGAAUAUGUAUAAGUGACAUAGAUACGUUGAGAGUGAUUAGCAAGGUAAUUGAAGGAGCCAGAAGCGACCACAUAGGAAAUUUUGAGUGUCUGCCAAGUACUAUUCAAUAGCACUACAAGAGGAAGAGAGAAGAUCGCUUCAAUGCGCUCCCCAACGAAUGAGGCUACGUAUAUAAACAAAGGUUCCAUGCUCUGACGAUUUCAAUUUGGCAUUUUAUAAAUAAAAAAAUGCUUGGCCUAUUAUGUAGGAGGCUUGCUAGGCUCUCAAUCACUUUCAUCAAACUAUUAGACAAGUUCUUAUGUCAUAUAGCAAUUUUAUUUGUUCAAUUCACUUUUGGAAAAUGAGGUAUCUGCAGAACAAAAGACAAUUCACGAGUGGCUUACCGUAACUUCUUCUAGGAAUGCAAAAUGGUGGUGUUCGACAUUUCACAAUAUUACAGCUAUGGUUGGAACCGGUGUCCUCAAUCUUCCUUAUGCUAUGUCUCACCUUGGAUGGUACGUGUUAGUUUAUAGAGAUUAUAUGUCCAUAGAAAGUGUAACUUGGGGCUUCUGUUGUGAAAUAUCAUUUAUUUUGGAUGUAAAUCAAUUUUACGGGACCUGGUGUGAUGUAACAGUGCUGGUGAAUAUCUUGGAUUAUAACUUUGUACACUUUAUGUCAAAUAAUUGAGAUGCACAAAAUGGUUCCAGUAAAACGCUUCUAUAUAUAUCAUGAGUUGGGCAGUAUGCUUUUGGGAAAAGCUUGGGUUAUGGGGGUGCCCCAACAGGUAAUUGUCGAAGUUGGCAUUGACAUUGUUUACUUGACGACUGGGUAAAAUCACUCAAGAAGGUCGAUUAUUUAGUGUGCAUACAAGAUUGCACAAAUAUGACUAUUUUGUGCUCUCUCAUUUUUCCAACUUAGAUUCUCUAUUCGGUAUGUCUUUGAUGGCUGUUGUCAUGUCCUUAAAGUUACUCUGCAAUUGGCUGAGGGAAUUCAACUAAGCGUGGAGCUAGAUGUGGACUAUAGCUACUCCGCUAAAAUCAAUUUGGGAGUCGUUUUCGACUUUUUCACAUUGAGAGAUGUGGCUUUUGCUUAAGGUGGUUAUAAUGUGAUGUAGGAGAUUCAAGCUACAAUUCUUUCAAUGACAGUAGCCUUCCAAAGGACCCAUGUGGAGGGGGUGUCGUAGUUGUUUACUCAGAAGUUUAAGGUAGUCAGAAUGUUGCUUGACUUGAGCUUCUGUUCAUCCUUCUAAUCAAGUUGCUUUGCACAAGUUCUACUUCUGAAAUUAUAUGUGCAAUCACUUUAUUAUUACUGAAAAAUUGGUAUAAUAUGUAUACUUAUAUAAUCUAUAAAUUAUGUUGUAAAAUUAAAAACAAUUGAAG